GACGAACGCUGGCGGCGUGCUUAACACAUGCAAGUCGAACGGCAACGCCCUGCCUUUGUGGGGUGCUCGAGUGGCGAACGGGUGAGUAACACGUCAGUAACCUGCCUUUGACUUUGGGUUGACCUCCGGAAACCGGGUCAAAUCCCGGUUAGGAGCACCGGCUGCAUGGUGGGGGCUGGAAAGCUGCGGCGGUUGGGGUUGGACUCGCGGCUUAUCAGCUUGUGGGUGGGGAAGUGGCUUACCAAGGCCUUGCCGGAUAGCCGACCUGAGAGGGUGAACAGCGACAUGGGGACUAAGAGACGGACCAGACUGCAACGUGAGGCAGCAGGGGAGAGUAUUGUACAAUGGGGGGGAGCCUGAGACGGCAGCGCCGCGGGUGGGAUGACGGCCUGCGCGGAGUGAAACGCUUGCGCCUGUGACGGAGGGUGGGUGACGGUAAUGGGAAAAGAAGCACCGGCUAACUACGUG
rnacentral:rRNA from 1 species